CAAAACAACACCAGAGAGCACUGUGGACAACUAACAAACGAGAGAGUAAACAAAACACAAAGGCAGAAACGCAAAAGAUUUAGUUCAUUUGUUUAAACUAGUGAACAAAUCAAAAGAUAUUUACUCGCGAAGAGAAAGGAUAUUUUAUAAUUAUAUUUUUGACAAUAUAGAAUUAUACAAGAAAUUAUUAAAAACAUCCACUGGUUUUACAAACACAAAAAUUAAUUCGGAGCGCAGAUAAAAAGCAUUAUUAUUAUGUUCAGUUUCGGUCCAUAUAUGAGGUGCUCCGAAAACCGCUUUUGUUAAUUCAGUAAUCUGACCAUCAACUGGACCCCGGACUGGUUUCCAAACUGGCCCUAGCGCUUCACUUUUCCUUUCGCAAGGGAGUGAAGGUCAGAUAAUUACGACUGAAGCGGUUUCUAGCUGGGAGAGUUGUAUAAUAUCAUCGACAAACUCAAAACUGGUUUUAAUGUGGACCACUUACAGGGAAGCUAAUGUAGUUGUUAGAAAAAGAAAUCAUUAAUUUAUUUUCCAUAUUUAUAUUAUACUAUUGACUGUUCAAAAAGCGGCGACAGAUACAAUACGUUCUCAUUCCGGACAGGUUUGCAUUUGGCGACAUUCGAAGCGGACCGGUCGAUCUAUUCGUUUGUGGGUGUACGGACUCUUGUAGCUGCUUUCAGCUGGAGGAAUUUAAUUAUUAUUUUCAACAUCCAAUCCGAUUUUCAAGAUUUAUGUAAAAUUAUUCGUAAUUUCAUUUUUAGCUUACCCAUGGUCAAUAAAAUUGUAAUAAUAUUUUUUCAUAUUGUAAAAA